CAGCAGUAGGGAAUAUUGGUCAAUGGGCGAAAGCCUGAACCAGCCAUGCCGCGUGUCAGAUGAAGGUCCUCUGGAUUGUAAAUGACUUUUCUACGGGAAGAAUGAGCCGUCUGCGGACGGAAGUUGACGGUACCGUAGGAAUAAGCACCGGCUAACUACGUGCCAGCAGCCGCGGUAAUACGUAGGGUGCAAGCGUUGUCCGGAUUUACUGGGUUUAAAGGGUACGUAGGCGGUUGUGCCAAGUCUGGGGUGAAAGUUUGCAGCUCAACUGUAAAAUUGCCUUGGAUACUGGUCGGCUAGAGUAGUGGAGCGGUGGCUGGAAUUUAUAGUGUAGCGGUGAAAUGCUUAGAUACUAUGAGGAACACCAAUUGCGAAGGCAGGUUACUGGUCACUAACUGACGCUGAGGUACGAAAGUGUGGGGAUCAAACAGGAUUAGAUACCCUGGUAG
rnacentral:rRNA from 1 species